UACGAGGGGGCUAGCGUUGCUCGGAAUCACUGGGCGUAAAGCGCACGUAGGCGGCUUUUUAAGUCAGAGGUGAAAUCCUGGAGCUCAACUCCAGAACUGCCUUUGAUACUGGAGAGCUUGAGUCCGGGAGAGGUGAGUGGAACUGCGAGUGUAGAGGUGAAAUUCGUAGAUAUUCGCAAGAACACCAGUGGCGAAGGCGGCUCACUGGCCCGGUACUGACGCUGAGGUGCGAAAGCGUGGGGAGCAAACAGG
rnacentral:rRNA from 1 species